CCUACGGGAGGCAGCAGUGAGGAAUAUUGGUCAAUGGGCGAGAGCCUGAACCAGCCAAGUCGCGUGAGGGAGUACUGCCCUAUGGGUUGUAAACCUCUUUUGUCGGGGAGCAAAAGCCGGACGUGUCCGGCUGUGAGAGUACCCGAAGACAAAGCAUCGGCAAACUCCGUUCCAGCAGCCGCGGUAAUACCGAGGGUGCUAGCGUUAUCCGGAUUUAUUGGGGUUAAAGGGUGCGCAGGCGGAUUUUUAAGUCAGCGGUCAAAUCGUGGGGCUCAACCCCAUCCAGCCGUUGAAACUGGGGAUCUAGAGUGUGCGAGAGGUAGGCGGAAUGCGUGGUGUAGCGGUGAAAUGCAUAGAUAUCACGCAGAACCCCGAUUGCGAAGGCAGCAUACCGGUGCACAACUGACGCUCAGGCACGAAAGCGUGGGUAUCGAACAGGAUUAGAUACCCCUGUAGUC
rnacentral:rRNA from 1 species